ACUGUCCUCAAGGACACCACAACAGGCACUGUCCCCAAGGGCACCAGCUCCCUGCUGCUCACUGCCACCCCUGGCACCUCUGCGGCCUCCCCAGGUGACACCUUUCAGGAGAGCUCCUCAGGUGAACCACAGCUGCUCCCAGUUGUGUUACCAGCUCUGCUUUUGCUGAUCUGCAUCACCACCACCAUCCUCACCCUGGCCAAAAUCAAGCUUCAAAAGCAAAGAGGAGGAGAAAGAAGCACCACAGAGAGCCUGGAGCCAACUUUGGUCCGUGCUGGGCCGAGCCCUGGAAAGGAGGAAAGGAUGGAGGAGAACCCGAGCCCAGGAGAGGAGGAGGAAUUCAGGAUGGGCUCUGACAAAUGACAAUCUCUGCUAUCCUUGGAAAUAUCAGGAUGACCGGCUUCUAUUUACCCUAUGGGGAAAAAUUACUUUUCCAGGUGCCUGAUGCAGAGUUGAGCCACAACCUUCUGUGAAAGCCUCUGGGUGCCUGAGCUGGGAAUUUUCUGUGUGGAAAGCCAAGCCCCCACCACCUCCCAUUGCACUCCACAGAACCCAAAUCCCCUUUACUGAGAGCUGAACCCCCACAUUGCCCAAAUUGCUCCGUGUUUUGCAGAAGAGAGAAUAAAAUAACACCCCUGAACGCA